GACGAACGCUGGCGGCGUGCCUAAUACAUGCAAGUUGAGCGCUGAAGGUUGGUACUUGUACCAACUGGAUGAGCAGCGAACGGGUGAGUAACGCGUGGGGAAUCUGCCUUUGAGCGGGGGACAACAUUUGGAAACGAAUGCUAAUACCGCAUAAAAACUUUAAACACAAGUUUUAAGUUUGAAAGAUGCAAUUGCAUCACUCAAAGAUGAUCCCGCGUUGUAUUAGCUAGUUGGUGAGGUAAAGGCUCACCAAGGCGAUGAUACAUAGCCGACCUGAGAGGGUGAUUGGCCACAUUGGGACUGAGACACGGCCCAAACUCCUACGGGAGGCAGCAGUAGGGAAUCUUCGGCAAUGGACGAAAGUCUGACCGAGCAACGCCGCGUGAGUGAAGAAGGUUUUCGGAUCGUAAAACUCUGUUGGUAGAGAAGAACGUUGGUGAGAGUGGAAAGCUCAUCAAGUGACGGUAACUACCCAGAAAGGGACGGCUAACUACGU
rnacentral:rRNA from 1 species